rnacentral:rRNA from 1 species
UACGUAGGGGGCAAGCGUUGUCCGGAAUCACUGGGCGUAAAGGGCGCGUAGGCGGCCUGAUAAGUAGGGGGUGAAAUCCUGGGGCUUAACCGCAGGGCUGCCUUCUAAACUGUCGGGCUCGAGCACGGUAGAGGCAGAUGGAAUUCCCGGUGUAGCGGUGGAAUGCGUAGAGAUCGGGAAGAACAUCAGUGGCGAAGGCGGUCUGCUGGGCCGUUGCUGACGCUGAGGCGCGACAGCGUGGGGAGCAAACAGG